UACGAGGGGGGCAAGUGUUGUUCGGAUUUACUGGGUGUAAAGGGAGUGUAGGCGGUUUGAUAAGUCAGGGGUGAAAUCCCCACGCUUAACGUGGGAUCUGCCUUUGAUACUGUUAGACUUGAAUGUUGGAGAGGGUAACGGAAUUCCAGGUGUAGCGGUAAAAUGCGUAGAUAUCUGGAAGAACACCAGUUGCGAAGGCGGUUACCUGGCCAAACAUUGACGCUGAGGCUCGAAAGUCGGGGGAG
rnacentral:rRNA from 1 species